rnacentral:misc_RNA from 1 species
CAGAGUUGCAAGACUCCCUAAACCAUUGUGAACCCUACCUUCUACCGUUGCUUCGGCGGGCGGGCCCAGCGCCCCCCCGGCCCCCCGCGGGCGCCCGCCGGAGGAUACCCAAACUCUUGACAUUAGUGGCCUCUCUGAGUAUUCUCUACUGAAUAAGUCA